GAGGGUGAUGCCUGCCCAAUGGUUGUAUCUAAAAGCAGUUGAUAAAAGUCGACCUCGUAAGGACAAUUGAAUGGCCGCGGUAACACUGACCGUGAUAAUGUAGCGUAAUCAAUAGCCAAUUAAUUGUUGGCCAGUAUGAAUGGCGCCACGAAGGCCCCACUGUCUUAAGGAAAUUCCCAGUGAAAUUGAAUUCGUAGUGAAGAUGCUACGUCCAAUUUGUUAGACGAAAAGACCCCGUUGAGCUUUACUGGGGCACUUACACGGCCCUCGGCCUUCCCGUGCCCGGGAACCGGCCGAAUUUAAAUGGGUGGUUUAGACUAUGUGGCAGCCCCCCGCCGGGGCAGAUGAAACCCCACUCCCCCAUGUCAAAGGGGCUAACCCCCCCCUUGGGGGGGACAGUGUAAGUAGGACAGUUUGGUUGGGGCGACCGCCUUUUAAAGAGUAACGAAGGUGCGCUUAAGGUGCGCAAUUAAUGACUGAAGCCUGACUGCGAGGGGGAUACCCCGAGCAGACACCCCCCAAGCCCGCCCGAGGGCGGCGGUGGGG
rnacentral:rRNA from 1 species